GACGAACGUUGGCGGCGUGCCUAAUACAUGCAAGUCAACUGAAAUACCGGUAGCAAUACUGGUAUGGAGGUGGCGCACGGGUGAGUAACACGUAGGUAAUCUGCCUUCAGGUCUGACAUAACCCAUCGAAAGGUGAGCUAAUAUCAGAUGAUGCAGCGGCUUGACAUCAAGACAGUUGUUAAAGCUUCGGCGCCUGAAGAUGAGCCUGCGUCUGAUUAGCUAGUUGGCGGGGUAACGGCCCACCAAGGCUGCGAUCAGUAGCUGGUCUGAGAGGAUGAUCAGUCACACUGGAACUGAGACACGGUCCAGACUCCUACGGGAGCAGCAGUAAGGAAUAUUGCUCAAUGGCCGAAAGGCUGAAGCAGCAACGCCGCGUGAGGGAUGAAGGG
rnacentral:rRNA from 1 species